UUGACCUCAAAUCAGGUAGUUACUACCCGCUGAACUUAAGCAUAUCAAUAAGCGGAGGGAAAAGAAACUAACAAGGAUUCCCCUAGUAACUGCGAGUGAAGCGNGGAAAAAGCUCAAAAUUUAAAAUCUGGGGGCCUCCNGCCGUCCGAGUUGUAAUC
rnacentral:rRNA from 1 species